CUUCACCGAGCCGAGCCACAACGGCCGCUCCGGCUCCCGCCCCUGGCCGUAUGUCGCCAGCAGCGCCUGCGCCUC
rnacentral:antisense_RNA from 1 species